UUCGGGGUGAGUGGCAGACGGGUGAGUAACGCGUGGGAACGUGCCCUUCAGUUCGGAAUAACCCAGGGAAACUUGGGCUAAUACCGGAUACGUGCGAGAGCAGAAAGAUUUAUCGCUGAAGGAUCGGCCCGCGUCUGAUUAGCUGGUUGGUGGGGUAAUGGCCCACCAAGGCGACGAUCAGUAGCUGGUCUGAGAGGAUGAUCAGCCACAUUGGGACUGAGACACGGCCCAAACUCCUACGGGAGGCAGCAGUGGGGAAUAUUGGACAAUGGGCGCAAGCCUGAUCCAGCCAUGCCGCGUGAGUGAUGAAGGCCUUAGGGUUGUAAAGCUCUUUCGUCCGGGACGAUAAUGACGGUACCGGAAGAAGAAGCCCCGGCUAACUUCGUGCCAGCAGCCGCGGUAAUACGAAGGGGGCUAGCGUUGUUCGGAAUCACUGGGCGUAAAGGGCGCGUAGGCGGCUUUGUAAGUCGGGGGUGAAAGCCUGUGGCUCAACCACAGAAUUGCCUUCGAUACUGCAUGGCUUGAGACCGGAAGAGGUUAGUGGAACUGCGAGUGUAGAGGUGAAAUUCGUAGAUAUUCGCAAGAACACCAGUGGCGAAGGCGGCUGACUGGUCCGGAUCUGACGCUGAGGCGCGAAAGCGUGGGGAGCAAACAGGAUUAGAUACCCUGGUAGUCCACGCCGUAAACGAUGAAUGCCAGCCGUUGGCGAGCUUGCUCGUCAGUGGCGCAGCUAACGC
rnacentral:rRNA from 1 species